GAAAGCCGUAUGCGGGAGAACCGCACGUACGGUUUGAAAGUGCGGGGACUGGACACGGAGCGGCAGCCACCGCGC
rfam:Streptomyces regalis strain NRRL 3151 P010contig114.1, whole genome shotgun sequence.